UGCCAGCAGCCGCGGUAAUACAUAGGGGUCAAGCGUUGUCCGGAUUUAUUGGGCGUAAAGAGCUCGUAGGCGGUUCAACAAGUCGGUCGUAAAAGUUUAGGGCUCAACCCUAAAAUGUCGAUCGAUACUGUUGUGACUAGAGUACGAGAGAGGGAGGUAGAAUUCCACGUGUAGCGGUGAAAUGCGUAGAUAUGUGGAGGAAUACCAGUGGCGAAGGCGGCCUCCUGGCUCGAUACUGACGCUGAGGUGCAAAAGCGUGGGGAGCAAACAGGAUUAGAUA
rnacentral:rRNA from 1 species